AUGUUGUUUUCUUCAGCCCCAGCAACAAUUGUUUCUUGUGACUUUCUGCGGGACUCUGAGGAAUGCUGGGAUGAUAAUCACAGAAACCAGUCGCGCCUCUGGAAAGCCCAUAAUUCUGCAGACUCAUGGAGCUUCACUCUGAUUCCAAAUCCAGAAAGACCAGCAUGUCUCUCAUGGAGACACUUGAAAUCCUUUCCACAUCUUCAUUCAUCAUGCUUGGGAAAGUGGCAAAGCAGGUGGAGAAGGUGGUCAAAUGCCUUAACAUGGAUCAUCUGCUUGCGACCUGAAAUCCUGCGUUUUUGGACGAGUGUCGGCUGACUCAAUACUCCAGAGUUUUUAAUCUCUAUGAUGAAAAUAUUUGGUUAGCACUGGCCUGUAUGUCUGAAGAAUCCAUAUUUUAUUUUAAAGGUGGUUAGAAAAGAAAUACUCAGAACAAAACAGAGACACCUCACAGAUCUGAGCUUUAUAUAUAGGGACAGCAUCACCUUUUUCUGUUAAGUGGGACAGAUUAUCUGCUUGGGGAUUAUAGAACUUUACCACUCUCAAACCCAACUGCUGAGAAACCCGCGUUGAAAACUGAGAAGUCAGGCUUAUGUCUUGAGAGUAAACCCAGUGAUGUUCAGUUGCACAUUCAGUUAACCGUUUUGAGAUAUGGUGAGAACUGUGAAGUGUCCUUUCUCCUAGUUCUCUGCUGUCAAAUAGAGACAAAUAAAAACAAGGGUCAGAGAGCUAUUCGUAUUGAAGAUCCCAAGAAGGACCAAGUCAUUCAUCAAGUGGAGCAGAUGUGGUCAGAAAAAAAGACUGGCCAGAGAAAAUCUGUCAGCAGAUUCUGAUCCUUGUUGGUCAUUGCCCUGAAAGACAUCCCAAGAUUCCUGUAUCCUCUGAAAGUGACUUCAUCAACUUCAUCAUCAGCCUCAUCAUUGUCAGUGUUUACUUAUUUUAACCAAUAGACACACAAUAUAAAAUGCUUGUAUAAGUAGUAUUUUUUGAACUCACCUUUAAUACAAAGAAGUAUGAAGAGGACAGGCUACAAUCUCAAUUUCGAUAAAUCAAUUUUUAAAAACCUGCUUAUAGUUAUAAAAUGCAAAUAUACGAAUAGGUAUAAUCCAUGAUUUGUUUAUUUACUCUCUGACUGUUGGACACAUUCUACUUAUUUAUUUUUUGGUAUUACACAUUUUGUUGCUCUGAAUAUCCUCAUAUGAACAUCUUGGUGAAAUUUUACACAUAUACCCAUAAGUUAAAUUCCUAGCAUUGUAUUGGUUGAGUUAAAGGUUGCAUACAUAAAAAUCAUGGUAGGUAGGCUGGGUGCAGUGGCUUACGCCUAUAAUCCCAACACUUUGGGAGGCCGAGGCGGGUAGAUCACGAGGUCAAGAGAUCGUGACCAUCCUGGUCAACACGAUGAAACCCCGUCUCUACUAAAAAUACAAAAAUUAGCUGGGCAUGGUGGCGCAUGCCUGUAGUCCCAGCUACUCGGGAGGCUGAGGCAG
rnacentral:lncRNA from 1 species